rnacentral:rRNA from 1 species
UACAGAGGGGGCAAGCGUUGUUCGGAAUUACUGGGCGUAAAGGGCGCGUAGGCGGCCUUCUAAGUCGAACGUGAAAUCCCCGGGCUCAACCCGGGAACUGCGUCCGAUACUGGAAGGCUUGAAUCCGGGAGAGGGAUGCGGAAUUCCAGGUGUAGCGGUGAAAUGCGUAGAUAUCUGGAGGAACACCGGUGGCGAAGGCGGCAUCCUGGACCGGCAUUGACGCUGAGGCGCGAAAGUCAGGGGAGCAAACAGG